AGUCCAGUAAGAAGCCAGCAGGGCUGGUGCUGGGGCUUCUUCUCCUGAAGGGGCUGCAAGAGGGAAGGCUUAGCCAUGUCGUCCUUGAUCAGAAGGGUGAUCAGCACCGCGAAAGCCCCAGGGGCCAUUGGACCCUACAGGCUCUUAAAAACAUGGGUGAAAUUCUGAAAGCUGCAGGCUGUGACUUCACUAACGUGGUGAAAACAACUGUUCUUCUGGCUGACAUAAAUGACUUCAAUACUGUCAAUGAAAUCUACAAACAGUAUUUCAAGAGUAAUUUUCCUGCUAGAGCUGCUUACCAAGUUGCUGCUUUACCCAAAGGCAGCCGAAUUGAAAUUGAAGCAGUAGCUAUCCAAGGACCACUGACAACGGCAUCACUAUAAGUGGGCCCAGUGCUGUGUAGUCUGGAAUUGUUAACAUUUUAAUUUUUACAAUUGAUGUAACAUCUUAAUUAACCUUUUAAUUUUCACAAUUGAUGACAGUGUGAGUUUGAUGAAAAUAUCUGAAGCUAUUAUGGAAAUACCAUGUAAUAGGGAGAGUUGAACAUGAAUAUUAGAGAAGGAAUCCAGUUACUUUUUUAAAUUACACCUGUGUGCACCUGUAUUACUGAAUAUAGGAAAGAGAUACCCAUUACAUAGUUACUCAGUAAACAAAAGAGAAAUACCAGGUAGGAAAGAAGAGUUACUAUUCCUGAGAAAUAAUCAAGAACAUAUUUAAUUUAAACUAAUGAUGUGAACUAUUUAGUUUUGAUGUCCGUUAUG
rnacentral:lncRNA from 1 species